rnacentral:rRNA from 1 species
UACGAAGGGGGCUAGCGUUGCUCGGAAUUACUGGGCGUAAAGGGCGCGUAGGCGGAUGGCACAGUCAGAUGUGAAAUUCCCGGGCUUAACCUGGGGGCUGCAUUUGAUACGUGUUGUCUUGAGUUCGGAAGAGGGUCGUGGAAUUCCCAGUGUAGAGGUGAAAUUCGUAGAUAUUCGCAAGAACACCAGUGGCGAAGGCGGCUCACUGGCCCGGUACUGACGCUGAGGUGCGAAAGCGUGGGGAGCAAACAGG